rnacentral:lncRNA from 1 species
AACUCUGGUAAAAUGGAUAUUGUUGCCUCAGUGACCUCAACUACAUGGUCUAUGUUCCAGUAAAUUCCACUCAUGGCAAGUUCCUUGGAAUAGUCAAGGCUGAGAACAGGAAAUUUGUCAUCAGUGGGAAGACAGUCACCAUCUUCCAGGAGCAGGAUCCUGCCAACACCAAAUGAGGUGAUGCUGGUGCCAAGUAUAUUGUGGAGUCAAUUGGUGUCUUCACCAUGAUGGAGGCCAGGGUCCACUUGAAGGGUAGGGGCAAAAGUCAUCAUCUCUGCCCCUUCAACUGUUGCCCCCAUGUUUGUGAUGGGAGUGAAUCAUAAGAAGUUCCACACUCACUCAAGAUUGUCAGCAACGCUGCUUCCUGCACCACCAGCUGUUAACCCCCACCCACCCAGCCAAGGUCAUCCAUGACAACUGCAGUGUCAUAGCACAUGGCAUCACACCAUCCAAAAUAAUCACGGACAACCCCUUUGGAAAGGGUGGUGGGAUGGUUGUGGGGCUGCCCAGAACAUCAUCCCCGCAUCCACUGGCACUGUCAAGGUUGUGGAAAAGGGCAUGGUACAUUGGCAUAUAGGCAGGCAAAACACCCAUACAUAGAAAAUAAAUUGAAAUUGUUUUUAAAAGGCAAUAAAGCAGGCAUCUGAGGCCCUGCAGGGUAUUCGGGGCUCUAGGAGGGGGAACAGGCUGUUUCCCGUGGCUUUAAGUCUUUCACUCUUGAUGCUGGGGCUGGCAUUGUUCUCAAUAACAACUUUGUCAAGCUCAUUUCCUGCUUUGAAUUCAGCUAUGACUGCAGGGUGGUGGAGCUUAUGGUUCUCAUGGCCUCCGAGGAG